UUCUGCGAAACCUAUAAUAGUAGGCAAUUUAAGUAUAAUAUCUUAGCAGGUACAGAAUUUAAUCUCAGACAAGACAUUAAAUGUUUUAUUUUGUACAAAUGGGGGGAUCAUGAAGAUUUUAUCCGUGAGUAUGCAGACUCGGAAUGGCAAAGAUAUAUCUUAAAUUAUCAGACAUAGAAUGAUAAGGUUGUAUGUCAAAAGGGAAACAGCCCAGAACAAGAGUUAAGGUUCCUAAAUUAUUCGUUGAGUGAAAUUAAGAAGGUUUUUAUUAAAGUCGACAAGGAGAUAGGCUUAGAAGCAGCCAUAAUUUUAUGACCUCGUAACAGAGCGCUUGUUAAGUUUUAAAAGCAUCGAAAAUUUAUCGGAUCUAAACAAUAUACCGAAACCUUGUCCAUAAUAAUUUAUAAUAAUAAUUUAUAUUAUAAUUAAAUGGGGUAGCAGAA
rnacentral:ncRNA from 1 species